AGACAGGUUAGUUUUACCCUACU
rnacentral:ncRNA from 4 species